UUCCAGUGUCUUUUCCUAUUAAUCCAUUCUAAUUUUCUCCCAUAGUGCAAGGAGGGGAAAUGGCCUUCACCAUCUCCGACCGUGGACUCACUCGCUUAUCUACUUUCAAUCGGAACGCAUCGUUUUGUCCCCAAUUCCUCCACCAGAGACCCGCAUUGAUUCCGACCGCAGAAUCGCCAAGAUGGCCUGUGAUUCGGUGCUCAGUAAUAAAUUCCAAUGGCGGCAAAACCCUCAGAACAUGCAAGAACUGCAAAACCCAAUUUGACCCUUCUCUCAAUCACCCUCGCGCUUGUCGCUUCCAUAUUGCCCAUUUUGGAGGUGAAACAAAGAGGAAGUUUGAGAGUGUUUACUCUGGAGGCACUAUGGAUACUCCUGACUCUGGCAGAGUUUUUCAAUACUGGCAUUGCUGUGGAUCUGAAGAUCCUUUUGACCCUGGAUGUACUGCUGCUCCUCACUCCUCGUAUGAUGACUGAUAUGGUUGGCAAUCCUUUUCUACAAACAAUGCAUGGUUCUGUUCUUUGAUUUUGUUCCACAGUUUUACAGUAGGAGACAUGUUGCCAUGAAUUUAUAUAACUGGAAGGAGACCACAUGACAAAUUAAAUAUUCACCAUUUGAGCAGCUGGCCUAAGUGCUACAUUUGAAGUCUUCAUAAAUGUGCCUUCUAAAGCAUAUGUUUACUGUGCUUUCUAAGCGCUUUUUAAUUCUGGAUUUUGGGACUGCAUAGUUUGCUGCUUCCUAAGGACUGGUACAGUUGCUUUUUGAAGGGAGCCUUUCUCCCUUGCAAGUGCCUUGUGUAGUUUGGGCUAAUGAGCAUCUUUGCUCAACCAAAAAAUUAAAAACAAAAAUCUUCAUAUAUGUGUGAA